rfam:Ictidomys tridecemlineatus contig091293, whole genome shotgun sequence.
CCAAAGGCUCUUUUCAGAGCCACCCACCCAUCUCUGAAACCAGCUG